UGAAAAUGCCUUGAACUAUUCACUGUCGAGAUGGCUAAUCAGUAUUGAGGCUCGAGGGCACUCGGGCAGCUUUUCAAUGCGGUUUUCCUUUCAUCUCAAGCUGGAUGGAGGCGCUCAAUUAAAAGCCUAUCAGUUUGUCAGGCUGGCGAGCUGCAAACCCUGGUCAGGAUCACCCAAAAAACCCGGACUGACUAUUUUUCCCUCGGGAGAGCGAACUGCAGAAACCUCGACACCAGCGUGCCUGCUCUGAGAGCUUGCUCUCUUGCCAUUUAAGUGUCAGCUUCAGUAGAUCAUGUUGGAAAAGGGCGUUUAGUCUUUUAAACGGAACAGCAACAACCCUACAGGCCCUUUAGUUUAGCUUUUUUGUUUGUUUUUUUCUUUCUUCCCCUUUUAUUUUCUUUUCGAACAAGACUAAGAUUUUAAUUAGCAGAAGCAGGGUUGCUGAGUUGUAUCUGGGUUGUGUUUCUGUGUGUAACACAAUUCAGUUACAUGUCUGUCCAUCCGGUUUGUCAAAUUUAUUUCCUUUGAUAGUACUUACAUUUCACUAUCUACCCCAAGGUUUUUAUUAUGAUAUGCAUUGCAAUACAUUUUUGUAGAUGGUCCCUUUUAUUUUUUUUUUUUUUCACAAGAAUGAUAGUACUUCAUAUAAGAAGAUAAGAAAUGUGAUAGGUUGUCAGAAAUACACCACCACGAUUUGGUACAUUUGGAGAGAGGCUUUUUCCCAUUUUUAUUUUUAUUUUUUUUUAAUACGAGACUGCAGGUGCUCAGCUGAUAACUGAUGCAUCUGCCCAGGUGUGCGGCAAAGGUGUGGGGUAUUUAUUCCAGAAUGUUGUUAAAGUAAAUAGUUGGAAAGCUUGCCAACAUGAAGUAAGAUUUCCAAACCUCUCCCCUGUUCGCAUUGUACCUGAAAAUAUUUACCCUUACGAUUGUAAUUACUUUCCUAACACAUAGAAGCAAUAUAUGUUUUACUCUGCAUGAGAUGUAGGUAAUCGUUUUAUAAGCGGUGAUAAUUUCAGAGCCAUCUUCAAAAUAAUAGUCACGUUUAAGCGAACGUGAAUUUUAGUAGUCUGUGGCAUUUUUACUAAACGAGUAGAAAAUCACUUUUGUUUGCUUGUUUGGCUGGUUGCUUACUGCUUUCGGAAACAUAGCUUCACCUAGAAUGUUUUCAAAUACGUUUGUCUAAUUUUGUUCCUUUUGUUACACCGAGAUAAGGAAGAGAUUAAUGCACCUAAUAAUAAAAAAACCCCACCCCAACCUUUCUCUCUUUAGCCCUUUGACAGAUUUCCCUCUUGACAUUGUUUCAUGUGUGAGUGUGAAAAUUUUUACUCCCGUGUCGAAACUCGUUUGCCAACAGCUAUUUUCCAAAUCUACCCUCUUUUAUGUUUAAGGUGUUUCUUAUGCAAACAGCUGUUAUUUAAAAUAUGCCUUAAGGUAACUUUCUAGAGGGAGAGGGAGAGGGAGAGAGCAAGUCAUAUAAUUGCAAUGACACGAGCAAGGCUGGGUAUGUUUCCUGUUAAGUGCAUGGAGAUUUUUAGUGUCAUUUUAUGUUUUUAAACGUACUACGAUUAAAAUCAUCAUGCCCAAA